UGGGGAAUAUUGCACAAUGGGCGCAAGCCUGAUGCAGCAACGCCGCGUGUGGGAUGACGGCCUUCGGGUUGUAAACCACUUUCAGCUAGGACGAAGCGCAAGUGACGGUACUAGCAGAAGAAGCACCGGCCAACUACGUG
rnacentral:rRNA from 1 species